CCCUUAGAUGUCCUGGGCUGCACGCGCGCUACACUGAUGUGUCCAGUAAGCACCUAACCUCUUCCGAAAGGAACGGGUAACCUUUGCAAAGCACAUCGUGAUGGGGAUAGAUUAUUGCAAUUAUUAGUCUUGAACGAGGAAUGCCUAGUAGGCGCAAGUCAUCAGCUUGCGUCGAUUACGUCCCUGCCCUUUGUACACACCGCCCGUCGCUCCUACCGAUUGGGUGUGCUGGUGAAAUGUUCGGAUCGGCCGUUUGUCGCGGUUUCCGCGUCAUGUGGCUGAGAAGUUCAUUAAACCCUCCCACCUAGAGGAAGGAGAAGUCGUAACA
rnacentral:rRNA from 1 species